CAGUGGUUGUGUGAGGCUGUAGAGCUUCCUUUGGUGGAAAAUUGUGCCCCUUGGCAUUUUUCCAUCUCUAGGCUGUGAAGCUGCAGUUCUGUUUCCAAGGUCCUUUACUGGGGAUGGGAUGAGAGGAAAGACUAAACAAGUGAGCGGAGCCAAGAGAUGCCUUUGAUGUUAUGAUUUGGAACAUACCCACAUCCAUCUGGAAAAUUUUCAGUAGUCAUUGGCUGGCCUUGUCAAAAGAUGUCAAGAAUGUGGAAGAAGAAAUUGCAAACAUUUGUACGCUAGAGAAAGGAGGCAAUGAAGUCUACAGAGAACUCUGGGGAAGAGAGAGGACUGGGUUCUAUUCCUCUCUGUAUGUGCGGAGAUGAUCGACUAAUGACAGCAUAUUAUAGCAUCCAUUUCUACGGACCAGCUCAUUGGCAUCUGGAGAGAGACCUACACGCUUGAUUCUAAUAAUUAAUGCUUUCAAUCAAAGAGAAAGGAGAGAAUGAUGCAGGGUUAAUUACUGAUGUUUUGUGGGAUCACCUUUCAGCCAUUUAUCUGGCAUUUUCCUCAGAACCUUAAACCCUCUGGAGAGAGAGUAUUUGGGGAAAGAGUAUUGAUACCAUAUGGCUAUGGGGACAUUUAUUUUCUUCUUCUUUCUUCCCAAACUCUAAGGGUCAUUCCUAAGAGUGUCAUACAGCUACAUCUU